GACUGUUUACCAAAAACAUAGCCCUAGUUAUAAUCUAAGGUGUAACCUGCCCAAUGAUUUUCAAUAAAUAUAUUUAGAUUAUAUAAAAGAGAAUUUAAAGGACGCGGUAACCUUGACCGUGAUAAUGUAGCAUAAUCAUUCGCCAUUUAAUUGAUGGAUAGUAUGAAUGGUUGAACGAAUAUUUCACUGUCUUAAAAAGAAACCCCCAAAAAUUAGAGUAAUAGUAAAGAUACUAUUUGAAAUUGUAAGACGAAAAGACCCUAUAGAGCUUAACUACAAUCUUUAUUGAAAGUGUUUGAUACAAUUAACCAAAUAUAAAGACCGGUAGUUUAGUUGGGGCGACUAUCUUUUAAAUAUAACAAAGAUAAGCAAAAUAAAUAGAAAAUUAUUUAUUGUAUAAUUAAUAAAUUUAACAAUUACAAGAGUAGGCUAUAAUGACCCGUUAUAAUUACAUAAGAGAAAUAACGAUCAAUAGAUAAAAGCUACCUUAGGGAUAACAGGAUAAUUUUAUUCUAGAGAUCUAAUCGAAAAUAAAGUUUGUCACCUCUAUGUUGAAUUAAGGUAACCUGAUAAUGCAGCA
rnacentral:rRNA from 1 species